CGACUCCUGCCUCCGGACCUCCUGGAGCAAGGUCUGGGACUUGCAAGCGCAACUGGCUCCGAUCUUCCUGGGCAGGCUCAGAACACUACUGUGCCCUACCUACAGCAUCCACGUGGUCGCCCGAGUAAAGGAAAGCAGUCAAAGUGGACCCCUAGUGAAUCCCUGGGACCACCCGAAGGCGCGUGCCCUCAGCUCUACGGUUCGGUUCGACACGGUUCGACACAGUCCAUGCCGAAUACUCUGAACUUUGGUCCAAAGUUUCGGUCAACUACUCCCACACAAAAUGGCGAAACAAUUUGAACACACUCUGAAUGGUCCAACUGAAUCUCAACCACCAACCCACUCCCCUCCGACCCCAGCGUCAGAGAUGGCUACCGCUGAGGCACCGCGAAGAAGCAUUUCCAGGGCCUGGAGAUGGUGAUCUAGGCCCCUGGAGAGAGAGAGAGACGAGCAGGAAGAAUGGACAGAGGUCAUUUUCCAGGGAUGCUGAACCCUGCACAAGGUGGAAGUUACUGAGCAAGUGAGUUGGAUGAGUGGGGCUAAGUGCUGAGGCUGUUGUACGCCAGCAGCAUGGCUCAAGAGGGUCCUGCAGACGAGCCAGGUGUUGGAGAAGCUGAGCAGCACAAAAGAUAACUGGAUGGCCUGGCCCAAGGACUUGGAAAACCCAGAAUGGUAAGAGCUAGAGAUAAUUAGCAUGCAGGUUGACUGGGGGUCACCUUGUUAGGUUGUGAGCCUGUGGAGGCUGGUGACUUUGCUGAAUUGAUAGAGAAGUAUAUGUCUGACCUGUUGAGAAGAAUCGGUGUUGUGUAUUGGGGUGAGGGGAGCACCUGAGCUGGGGCCUUACCCUACUAGGAAUGAGAUUUUUAAUGGUUUCCCCCAUUAUAA